rnacentral:rRNA from 1 species
UACGUAGGGUGCGAGCGUUGUCCGGAAUUACUGGGCGUAAAGGGCUCGUAGGCGGCCAACUAAGUCGGAUGUGAAAUCCCCAGGCUUAACCUGGGAACUGCAUCCGAUACUGGAUGGCUUGAAUCCGGGAGAGGGAUGCAGAAUUCCAGGUGUAGCGGUGAAAUGCGUAGAUAUCUGGAGGAAUACCGGUGGCGAAGGCGGCAUCCUGGACCGGCAUUGACGCUGAGUGAGCGAAAGCUAGGGGAGCAAACGGG